GGGGGGGGGGGGGGGGGGGGGGGGGGCGGGGGGGGCGGGCGGGGGGGCCCGGCUGGUGUGGGGUGCUCGGGUGGCGAGCGGGUGAGUAACCCGUGAGUAACCUGCCCUUGACUUUGGGCUAACUUCAGGCAACUGGGGCUACUACCGGAUAGGAGCUCCUGCUGCAUGGUGGGGGUUGGAACGUUUCGGCGGUUGGGGAUGGACUCGCGGCUUAUCAGCUUGUUGGUGGGGUAGUGGCUUACCAAGGCUUUGACGGGUAGCCGGCCUGAGAGGGUGACCGGCCACAUUGGGACUGAGAUACGGCCCAGACUCCUACGGGAGGCAGCAGUGGGGAAUAUUGCACAAUGGGCGGAAGCCUGAUGCAGCAACGCCGCGUGCGGGAUGACGGCCUUCGGGUUGUAAACCGCUUUCGCCUGUGACGAAGCGUGAGUGACGGUAAUGGGUAAAGAAGCACCGGCUAACUACGUG
rnacentral:rRNA from 1 species